UACGAAGGGGGCUAGCGUUGCUCGGAAUUACUGGGCGUAAAGCGUGCGCAGGCGGUUCGUUGUGUCCGUCGUGAAAGCCCCGGGCUUAACCUGGGAACUGCGAUGGAAACUAGCGAGCUGGAGUGUGGCAGAGGGGGGUGGAAUUCCGCGUGUAGCAGUGAAAUGCGUAGAGAUGCGGAGGAACACCGAUGGCGAAGGCAGCCCCUGGGCUAACACUGACGCUCAGGCACGAAAGCGUGGGGAGCAAACCGG
rnacentral:rRNA from 1 species